rnacentral:rRNA from 1 species
AUGCAGCCAUGCCGCGUGUGUGAAGAAGGCCUUCGGGUUGUAAAGCACUUUCAGUAGGGAGGAAGGUAGUGUAGUUAACACCUGCAUUAUUUGACGUUACCUACAGAAGAAGCACCGGCUAACUCCGUGCCAGCAGCCGCGGUAAUACGGAGGGUGCGAGCGUUAAUCGGAAUUACUGGGCGUAAAGCGCAUGCAGGCGGCCUGUUAAGUCAGAUGUGAAAGCCCGGGGCUUAACCUCGGAAUUGCAUUUGAAACUGGCAGGCUAGAGUCUUGUAGAGGGGGUAGAAUUUCAGGUGUAGCGGUGAAAUGCGUAGAGAUCUGAAGGAAUACCAGUGGCGAAGGCGGCCCCCUGGACAAAGACUGACGCUCAGAUGCGAAAGCGUGGGGAGCAAACAGGAUUAGAUACCCUGGUAG